UCUACGGAAGUUUCAUCAUCAUCAUUUUCUUCCUGCAAAAUUCUUUCCUCUUUUUGUUCUCAUUCCCAUCCAAUUCUUCCGGGCAAUUUUUUUUUUCUUUUUCCUAAAUUUGCCAGAAAGUGAAAUUAGAUAAAUUGGAUUUUUAUAUAUCCUUGGGUGAGUGAAAAAAUGCAAGACAAAAAGUAAAGCCAACAAGACUUAUUGAAAAAAGCAAAUACAUAGCCAUCAAGUAAUCAUUUAAUAGUAUUAAACUUGCAUAUUAGCUGCAACCUUGGUUUCUCUCAUUUUCUUACAGGCACCCACCCGAGUAGAGUCCAGCUCCGAACCCGUUCACGUCUUCCUACCCUGAAUGGACAUUCAAUCUGUAAGUGCUCCAUUCCCUUUCGAUUCAUCUCACAAUCGCUGUACUUGAAGCUCUCCAUAGCUCUGAGCCACGAUUGGGUUUUUUUUUCUCCCCUUCGAUUUUAACUUUUUUUCCUUUCUUUUUUGUGUUUAUAGGUUUGAAUUUUUAGGGUUUUGAAGUUUCUGCGCGUUUCUCUGUUGUUGGGUAUUGAUUUUGGAGGCGGGGGAUAGUAUAAAUAGGGUUAGGGUUUUCUUGAAAGCGUUGGUGGAUUGUGGUUAGGGUUUGGUUAUUCGAGACGGCGACGAUUGGCGUGGGUUAGAGGAUAAUGUGUAUACUGUGUGUGAUUCAGAAGUGGUCUCGCCGGGUUGCUACAAUGCNNNNN
rnacentral:lncRNA from 1 species